GCUAAGGUAGCAUAAUCAUUUGUUAUUUAAUUGAUAACUGGAAUGAAAGGUUAAACUAGCUUAUUAAGUUUGUAGAGUUAUAUAGUAGUUUAAAGUUAAGGUAAGAAUUCUUUAAUUUUCUAGGGGACGAUAAGACCCUAGAAGCUUAACGAGUAGGCUGGUUAGUUUUAGGAAUUUUUUCGUUUUACUGGGGCGGUAAAAAUAAGUAAACUAUUGAGUACUUAGAGGAUCCUUAAAAUAAAGAAAAAAUGGGGAAGUUACUCUAGGGAUAA
rnacentral:rRNA from 1 species